AUUGAACGCUGGCGGCAUGCCUUACACAUGCAAGUCGAACGGCAGCAUGGAGAGCUUGCUCUCUGAUGGCGAGUGGCGAACGGGUGAGUAAUGCACCGGAACGUACCGUGUAAUGGGGGAUAACGUAGCGAAAGUUACGCUAAUACCGCAUACGACCUGAGGGUGAAAGCAGGGGAUCGCAAGACCUUGCGUUAUACGAGCGGCCGAUGUCAGAUUAGCUAGUUGGUGAGGUAAAGGCUCACCAAGGCGACGAUCUGUAGCGGGUCUGAGAGGAUGAGCCGCCACACUGGGACUGAGACACGGCCCAGACUCCUACGGGAGGCAGCAGUGGGGAAUUUUGGACAAUGGGGGCAACCCUGAUCCAGCCAUGCCGCGUGAGUGAAGGAGGCCUUCGGGUUGUAAAGCUCUUUCGGCCGGGAAGAAAUCGCACAGGCUAAUACUCUGUGUGGAUGACGGUACCGGCAUAAGAAGCACCGGCUAACUACGUGCCAGCCGCCGCAGUAA
rnacentral:rRNA from 1 species